rnacentral:lncRNA from 1 species
AGCAACAGCAGGCGAUGUGAGAAACAGAGUCUUCUUAUGAUGAAGACAUAGAGAUGGAACCAGCUUGAUCUAAUACCGAAAUGGGUCUGACAUGAACCAUGGCCAAGUCUACAGAGACAUGCAACCAACACGUGACACUUGCCUGCAAGCUUUUCUGAGACACGGAUGGCUGAGAGCCAGCUCUAAAUAUUUCACGUCUCUGUCUGAGUCGAUCAGGUUUCCCAAAGCAGGGUGCAGUCCAUCACAGCAGGUAAAGUACAGCCGAAGAUGCGAGGCAGAUGUUGGAUAUCGUCUCCACAGUCAGCAAGCAGAGAAUAGACAGGAAACACAGCCAAGCCAUAAAACCUUCAAGCCUUCCUCAGUGACCUGCUUUCUCCAGAGGAGUUCUACUUCCUAAAGGCUACACAAGCUUCCAAAAGAGCGCCACCAGCCGGGGACCAGCUGUUCCAACAUGAGCUUGUGGAGGACAUUUAACAUUCAAGCACACGGGAGAUUGCUAGGACAGAAGAAAGCAGAACGCUUUCUUCAGCUAUGGUGAGCACGCUGUGAUUUGUUGCUUCUGUCUGCACGCGUUUAACUCAAGAAAUCUUCAUUGCCAGAAUUCAAAUAAAACCUUCAGUUCUC